AUGGCGCAUCACCGGCGCCGCAGCUGCCUGCGCCGUGUCCUCACCAUCGCCGGCGGUGUGUCGGCCGGCCUCCUCCUGCUCGCCGGCGGCCAUACCUACGCCCACGGCCAGCUCUUCUCGCCGGGCUUGCUGCCCCUCGGCCUCGGCGCCGACUGCUCGCCGUCCUUCGCCCCGCCCCCCUUCGCCCCGCCGCCCUUCGCCCCGCCGCCCUUCGCCCUCUCGCCGCUGCCACCCUACCUCCUGUCAGACUUGGAGGCCGACGCCUCACCGCCGCAGCCGGAAGCCAACCUCCCGCGGCGCCUUCUGCCCAUCCACCGCUCGCCGCCCUGCCUCCCCUCGAACUCGGAAUCGGGGGCCGACCGCUCGCCGCCGCAGCACGACGACGCGGAUGCUGUCUUGCUCCCGGACUGGGAGGUUCUUGUCCUGACUGACGCUGAGCCUGGCGCCAAGGCGACGUGCGCCUUCCAGGGUGGAGCGUCGUCCCCGGCGAGCGCGCUUGGGAGGCUGCCGGGGUCGGGCCGCCACGCCUACAUCUGCCCAAUGCCCGAGCCUGCCCGGAGCCUCCAGCCGCUCCAAGCGCCCGUGCUGCUCCCCACUUCGGCUUCCUCUGCCGAUUGCCCUGGCCGCGCAUUGCUGAAUUGGACCGGCCGGAUCGCGUUCAGCUCUGCAUCUCUCGACAGUGGCCAUGUUCUUGUCUUUGCAAAGGGCGUCAACCAUGUUGCUGGCGGUGUCCAAUGCCUGUAUCGCUACUGUGGCGAGACCCAUGCCGUGGUGGCCUCCUUCCCUGCCAUCACGUCCGUACAGCAGGUUACCCGGUGCCCCGCUCCACCGAUCCAUCUGAACUCUAGGAACACAGAGUUCCGUGUCACCGUGGCAGCCACGGGCGAGGAUCCAAUCCCCACACUCGUGACUUAUCGUCCAUGGCAGAGUGAAAGUGGCUUGCCGGUGGCACCGGAAAAGAACCUGAUUUGUGCAUGCACUAUGAUUCACAAUGUCUCAAAGUUUCUUCGCGAAUGGGUGCUGUAUCAUGCCGCUGUCGGGGUGGACCACUUCAUCCUGUACGACAAUGGAAGUAAGGAUGACUUGGCAGAUCAAGUUGCCCAGUUGAGGUCAGCCGGAAUCAGCAUCUCCACCGUGCCUUGGCCGUGGAUCAAAAUGCAGGAAGCCGGCUUCUCCCAUUGUGCCGCAACGCACCAGAGCUCUUGCAAGUGGAUGGCCUUUAUUGACGUCGACGAGUUCGUUUUUUCGCCCAACUGGGAACGAUCUGAGAAGCCGUCAAAAUCGAUGCUUGAGGCGAUUGUUCAGGUUGAUCCAGAUGUCGGGCAGGUACAUCUGUGGUGCUUUGAUUUUGGCCCCUCUGGCCAAACAUCACACCCACAGGAGGGCGUCAUCCAAGGAUACACAUGCCGUCUGAAGAGGUUUCUGAGGCACAAAUCGCUGGUUCUGCUUGCUGCAGUGGACCAUUCUUUGGAGAAUGCAAUUCACCACUUCACACUGAAGGCUGGUUUCAAAAGUAUACGGAGCAUGCAGGCACGUGUGAACCAUUAUAAGUACCAGGCAUGGACCGAGUUCAAGCAUAAGUUCAAACGACGAGUGUCUGCCUACGUGGCUGACUGGAGAGAUCCAAUCAACCUUGAGUCCGCUGACCGGGCCCCCGGCUUAGGCGUUGAUGGAGUCGAACCGGUUGAUUGGGCGCAAAGGUAUUGCGACAUCAAGGAUAACCUGCUUCAGAAAUUGAGCUCAAGAUGGUUCGGUAAUGGAUUGGGAAGUCCGGGAUCUCAGGAUACUUAG
rnacentral:rRNA from 1 species